ensembl:misc_RNA
GCAGGAGCCCUAGAAACUGAAGUCUUUUGUUGACAAGCCAUGUACAGUGCAGAUGACAGCAAUCCGUUUUCCCCUUGCAUUGCCAACAAGCUUAACCCUGAGCUGGAAAGACUUUAUUCUGGAGAAGUGAAAGGAAAUUUAAUCUCUGAGCUCACUCAGCCCUUUAUUUC